rnacentral:ncRNA from 2 species
UCGAAUAGGUGCGGGAGCUGGGUGCAGGGCCCGGCUGAGAGGCUCCGACCGUAUCGGAGCGACCGCCAGACCUGAUCUGGGUAAUGCCAGCGAAGGGAUUGAACCAACCUGACGC